rnacentral:sRNA from 17 species
CAGUUUCGGCGCCGCAUACUCCUCCUCCCAAUGCGCGCCGAACGGGCUGACAACCCUCCUCCUCCCAGUUGUCGCCCAUUUCAAAUGACGCCCGCCGGAUCUCCUCCCCCGGUGGGCGUUAUUG